GUUAUAGUACGAAUGGUAAUGGGGUGAGGGAGGAAAUGGUGGUGGUGAUGGCCAUGGACAAGUGGUGGUAGUACAGGUGGUGGUGGCGAUGGUGUUGAUGGCCACGGAAAAGUGGUGAUAAUAGAGGUGGUGGUGGUGGUGACGUGGUGGAGGCGGCAGCGGUGGUGAUGGCCAUAUCAAGAUGAUUUAUAGGGGUGAUGGGUGAGGGUGGUAAUAGCGGUGAUGUGGUUAUGGUGGCGGUGGCGGUGGCGGUGAUGGUGGGUUGGGGGAGAUGACCAUGGUAAGGUGGUGGUGAUGGUGGUGGUGGAGAUGGUGGCAAUAGCGGGGAUGAUGGUAGUGUCAUUUCUAGGGCAG
rnacentral:lncRNA from 1 species